AGUGAACGCUGGCGGCGUGCCUAAUACAUGCAAGUCGAACGGAGUGGCGCACGGAUGAGUAAGGUAUAGCUAAUCUGCCCUACACUAGAGGACAACAGUUGGUAACGACUGCUAAUACUCUAUAGUGUAGGAUGGGGCUGUAUUGUCUCAGCUAGUUGGUGAGUUAAUGACUGACCAAGGCUAUGACGGAUAACUAGUCUGAGAGGAUGAUCAGUCACCCUCGAACUGAGACACGGUCCGGACUCCUUCGGGAGGGAGCAGUAGGGAAUAUUGCUCAAUGGGGGAAACCGAGAAGCGGCUUCGCGGCGUAAAGGAUGUCACUUGUCGAGGCGUAAACUCAGUUUGUUAGGGAAACGUUACUUAACGAAUAAGCACCGGCUAACUCCGUGCCAGCAGCCGCGGUAAUAC
rnacentral:rRNA from 1 species